rnacentral:rRNA from 1 species
UACGUAGGGGGCAAGCGUUGUCCGGAUUUAUUGGGCGUAAAGAGCGUGUAGGCGGCCAGACAAGUCUGCUGUGAAAACUCGAGGCUCAACCUCGAGCUGUCGGUGGAAACUGUCUGGCUAGAGUCCGGAAGAGGAGAGUGGAAUUCCUGGUGUAGCGGUGAAAUGCGCAGAUAUCAGGAGGAACACCGGUGGCGAAGGCGGAUCUCUGGGCCUGUUCUGACGCUGAGGCGCGAAAGCUAGGGGAGCGAACAGG